UCAACUGUACAUAUUUCUGAUGAAAGCAUCUUUUCAUAAAAAAAGUUAUUACUUCACUGUAUGAUGCUGUUUUGUAAACAUCAACAGGUAGGGAAUGGGUGCCUCAGGUUGGUCAGGGAGAUGGCAAAUAUCCAGGGAAGGGAUGUUUUUGUUGCUGACCUGUACGUCACCCCAACAUGGCUCGAUCCUGGAAACACUGAUCCCCUGCUCCAUUUCCCAAAAGAUGCUGACCAGAAAGAUGCCCUAAUCAUCCCCCUUUGGAUUCCAGGGCAUUUUCUUCUGAGUGUAAUGAGGCCACUCCAGAAAGAAAUCUUCUUUCUGGAUUCGCUGUACUUCAGAAGAGCUGAUGGUUUCUCUAGUCAGGCCUACAGGGAGCUGUUGAGGUUUUUCGGUGUUGUCUGUUCUGGCGGUCACGUUACCCUGACCUGCCACUGUUUUGAAAACAUUCCAAACAUAAGUUCAUCGUAAACACGGAAAGUUUUCUGUAAGAUCAGACAAGAUUUGUUUCUAGAGAGCUGAAAUGGGCUCAAAUUGACAAUUUGUCAGUGAAAUCAAAAGAAAAAGGGUUAUAAACAAAUCCUCCUCCAUGAACUUGAAAUGUUCUUAUUUGCAUGGUCCCGUUCUUGGACAUGUUCCCCGUUCUGUGGAUUACAGAUUUUGAUACUGUUCAUAUGUUAUGUAUCAGUUUUUUUUUCUCUCCCCAACAGAAUCAUAGCAGUGUAUACUUUUUAUGUUUUACAUUGCUCUGUUUUUUGUUACUCAGAGGUCUUGCACAGCAGAUUGUUGCGGGAGCCUGGACAGAGAAGACUGCCCUGGAUUUGAAGGAUGUUCCUAAGCAGACACAUGGCAAUGACUGUGGUGUCUUCAUGAUAAUGUAUGCCUGGUACUUUGCCAUGGAUGCCUGCUUUGACUUCGGUGUUGAUGACAUGUGUCUCCUUAGAAGAUGGUGGUGCAUUGUUCUCUUGGAGAACUUUGGG